rnacentral:rRNA from 1 species
GACGAACGCUGGCGGCGUGCUUAACACAUGCAAGUCGAACGGGCCCGCCCCUGUUUUUGGGGGUGGGUUGAGUGGCGAACGGGUGAGUAUCACGUGAGUAACCUGCCCCCUGCUCCUGGAUAACUGCUUGAAAGGGCGGCUAAUACGGGGUGUGCCGGCUGGUCCGCAUGGGCCUGGUCGGGAUAGUUUCAUCUUCGGGUGUUUCGGUGGGGGAUGGGCUCGCGGCCUAUCAGCUUGUUGGUGGGGUGAUGGCCCACCAAGGCGGUGACGGGUAGCCGGCCUGAGAGGGGGGGCGGCCACACUGGGACUGAGACACGGCCCAGACUCCUGGGGGAGGCAGCAGGGGGGGGUAUUGCACAAUGGGCGGAAGCCUGAUGCAGCGACGUCGCGUGAGGGAUGGAGGCCUUCGGGUUGUGAACCUCUUUCUCCGGUGGUGAAGGCCCUGUCCGUUGCGGCGGGGUUGACGGUAGCCGGGUAUGAAGCGCCGGCUAACUACGUG